ACCAGACAAACCGUAGAUCUUUCAGAGGCAAUCCCUACUCCCUGCCAAAGGAGAACCCAGUUACUGAACAUCGGAUGAGACCAUGGAUAGUAAAUUGGGAGUGAAGGUCCAUACCUGGGUCUCAGAAGCACAGUACAGUUACACCAGCCUCCUGAGUAUGACAGCAACAUUCCUUCAGGGAUUAAAGAAAAUGCUUCAGAAGAUUGGAACACUGCUCAGCCUUCCCAACCUUCUUUUACCACUGAUGUUUCUACCUUAGUGAUCUUCCUCCUUAUUUUAAUGCUUCUUUCUCUUUACAAUUAAAAGUUCAUAAAAUCUUUCAACAUUAUUUUUCACUACAAAAGUCUGAAGUUCUCUG
rnacentral:lncRNA from 1 species